AGCAGCCGCACGGGAAUACGUAGGUGGCAAGCGUUGUCCGGAAUUAUUGGGCGUAAAGGGCUCGCAGGCGGUUUCUUAAGUCUGAUGUGAAAGCCCCCGGCUCAACCGGGGAGGGUCAUUGGAAACUGGGAAACUUGAGUGCAGAAGAGGAGAGUGGAAUUCCACGUGUAGCGGUGAAAUGCGUAGAGAUGUGGAGGAACACCAGUGGCGAAGGCGACUCUCUGGUCUGUAACUGACGCUGAGGAGCGAAAGCGUGGGGAGCGAACAGGAUUAGAUACCCCAGUAGUCCCUGUCUCUUAUACA
rnacentral:rRNA from 1 species